GGCUCCAUAGUGUAGUGGUUAACAUGUCUGCUUUACACGCAGAAGGUCCUGGGUUUGCACCCCAGGUGGAGCCA
rnacentral:tRNA from 1 species